rnacentral:rRNA from 1 species
UACGGGGGGGGCAAGCGUUGUUCGGAAUUAUUGGGCGUAAAGGGUGCGUAGGCGGUUCGUUAAGUCUGUCGUGAAAUCCCCGGGCUCAACCUGGGAAUGGCGAUGGAUACUGGCGAGCUAGAGUGUGUCAGAGGAUGGUGGAAUUCCCGGUGUAGCGGUGAAAUGCGUAGAGAUCGGGAGGAACAUCAGUGGCGAAGGCGGCCAUCUGGGACAACACUGACGCUGAAGCACGAAAGCGUGGGGAGCAAACAGG